UGGGGGAAUUUUCCGCAAUGGGCGAAAGCCUGACGGAGCAAUGCCGCGUGAAGGAUGAAGGCCUAUGGGUUGUAAACUUUCUUUUCUCAGAGGAAGAAUUCUUGACGGUAUCUGAGGAAUAAGCAUCGGCUAACUCUGUGCCAGCAGCCGCGGUAAGACAGAGGAUGCAAGCGUUAUCCGGAAUGAUUGGGCGUAAAGCGUCUGUAGGUGGCUUAAAAAGUCUUCUGUCAAAGAUCAGGGCUUAACCCUGGGCCGGCAGGAGAAACUCUUAGGCUAGAGUUGGUAGGGGCAGAGGGAAUUCCCGGUGGAGCGGUGAAAUGCGUAGAGAUCGGGAGGAACACCAAAGGCGAAAGCACUCUGCUGGGCCACAACUGACACUGAGAGACGAAAGCGAGGGGAGCAAAAGGGAUUAGAUACCCCUG
rnacentral:rRNA from 1 species